rnacentral:rRNA from 1 species
CUACGGUAAACGCUGGGUAGCCAAGUGCGGAGAGGAUAACUGCUGAAAGCAUAUAGCAGCAGCUCGUAGACCGCCUGAAAAAGAAUAUUUAUUAUUUGAGCUAUAUCCUGCCAUAAGAAGACCAAUAGGAGCUAUACUUGAAAUGGCAAUCCAUAAAAAAAUACCAAUACUAAGAUCGGCUAAAACAAAAUGAUAUCCCAAUGAUGAGCUACAAAAGGAUUCGUUUUUUUUCGUGUCACAGCUGAUUACUCCUUUUUUCCUUUUUAAAGAGUGGCAUUCUAUGUCCAAUAUCUCGAUCGAAGUACGGAGGUCAGAAUAAAUAGAAUAAUGAUCAAUGGAAAAAAGCAAAAAUCCUUUAGCUGGAUAAGGGGCGGAUGUAGCCAAGUGGAUCAAGGCAGUGGAUUGUGAAUCCACCAUGCGCGGGUUCAAUUCCCGUCGUUCGCCCAUCGCAUUAUUGCAAAUUCCAAAAAUGCAAUUUUCCAU